UUUCGUUUUUUAAUUCAUGAGACAAAUUUGCUAAACACAUGAUUUAUUGAAUUCUACGGUAUGUGUUGUUGUUAGUGCGGAGUUUUAUUUCUUGGAUAUUGGAUAUUUUAUUUGGAAAUCGUAUUCCAUGAUGUACUUUUUGUGUGACGACCGAUGGAUGCACCUCUUUCGUUAAAGUCAUCGAAGCGGGAGUACCUCAAGGAAGUGUGUUUGGCCCCACUUUAUACUCUAUCUUCUCCUCGGAUAUGGCCACCCAUACAGCAGUCACUGGACUAGAUCGCAAAGAUGUGCUGAUUGCGACACAUGCUGAUGACACCUCAGUCCUGACAAAGAGUAACAGCAUUACCGAGGCAUCGGAUGCACUGCAAAAGUACCUGGAUGCAUUUCAGAAUUGGGAACGUCUGCAUCAACGCGAAAAAAUGUGCAAAUGUAACUUUCACAAACAGAACAAAAAGCUGCAGCGACGUCUCACUUAAAGGAAGAGUGCCUAACCACAAGUCAUCUUACAAAUACCUCGAAGUGAUCUUAGAUAGGAAAUUAAUAUUUGGAAGGAACAAUACGGCGACCAAGGUUUCUAAAAUGCCGUGGUUGAUUGCUGCCCGCAACAAACUUUCCAUCGCCAACAAGGUUAAAAUCUACAAGACCAUAUUAGGUACUGACCUAUUCUAUGCCAUACAGGUGUACGGGAUCGCUGUCAAAGCGCACCUGAAUAAAAUUCGGGUUCUCCAGGCAAAAACGCUCAGGAAGAUCACAGGCGCUCCUUGGUACAUGAGGGUCCAGAGACAUUGAACGUGAUCUGAAGGUGCCAAAAAUUGGAGACAGGAUUCAGGAGUUAGCAAAAAAAUAUAAUGAUAGGCUAGAAUCUUAUCCCAAUAGCCUAGCGAGGCGACUUAGUAUCGCAGCCCAAAGUCAUCGGACUAGAACGAGAAGACUGAAACAUUACCACCCUCAAGACCUGAUUAACCGUGACUUAACCUGCUACAUAUAAAUCCUUUCAAUUCUUUACUAUAUAUUAUUAUUCCAUUUCCGUUAAUAACCACCUAAUGUUAUCUUUGUAAAUAACUUAGAUAUCAAUAAAAAUUCGUUCAAAGUAACUCAGA